AUGAACGCUGGCGGCGUGCCUAAUACAUGCAAGUCGAGCGAACAGACGAGGAGCUUGCUCCUCUGACGUUAGCGGCGGACGGGUGAGUAACACGUGGAUAACCUACCUAUAAGACUGGGAUAACUUCGGGAAACCGGAGCUAAUACCGGAUAAUAUAUUGAACCGCAUGGUUCAAUAGUGAAAGACGGUUUUGCUGUCACUUAUAGAUGGAUCCGCGCCGCAUUAGCUAGUUGGUAAGGUAACGGCUUACCAAGGCAACGAUGCGUAGCCGACCUGAGAGGGUGAUCGGCCAGACUGGAACUGAGACACGGUCCAGACUCCUACGGGAGGCAGCAGUAGGGAAUCUUCCGCAAUGGGCGAAAGCCUGACGGAGCAACGCCGCGUGAGUGAUGAAGGUCUUCGGAUCGUAAAACUCUGUUAUUAGGGAAGAACAAAUGUGUAAGUAACUAUGCACGUCUUGACGGUACCUAAUCAGAAAGCCACGGCCAACUACGUG
rnacentral:rRNA from 1 species